CAAUCUGUAAGUUUUCCCUCUGUCCCUAACUCUUUGUCUCUCCCUUGUGCUCAUUAAUCCAAUCAUUGUUCUCUGAUGCUCUCUCUGUACUGCCCACAUUCCACUCACAGCCAAUGAACUCCUCUCUUCCUGCUGCACAGCCACAGUGUGAGAAAGAGUUAAGUAAGGGAGCGGGACGGCACUAAUGGUGGCACUAAAGGAGCACAUGAGCUGAUUAUUCCCAGGGACACUUUGCUACUGAUUGUGGUCACUUCCAGGUCAGUCCCUCCCACAAGGAGCCAAUGGGAAUGUGGGAGGAAGCGAGUGACACAGGGAUGAAGGGGAAGAAGAAGAAGAA